rnacentral:tRNA from 1 species
GGAUCAAUAGCUCAAUUGGUUAGAGUCCCCGUCUCAUAAGCGGGUCGUUACAGGUUCAAGUCCUGUUUGAUCCA